UACGUAGGGACCAAGCGUUGUUCGGAUUUACUGGGCGUAAAGGGCGCGUAGGCGGCGCGGUAAGUCACUUGUGAAAUCUCUGAGCUUAACUCAGAACGGCCAAGUGAUACUGCAGUGCUAGAGUGUGGAAGGGGCAAUCGGAAUUCUUGGUGUAGCGGUGAAAUGCGUAGAUAUCAAGAGGAACACCUGAGGUGAAGACGGGUUGCUGGGCCAACACUGACGCUGAGGCGCGAAAGCUAGGGGAGCAACCGGG
rnacentral:rRNA from 1 species